rnacentral:rRNA from 1 species
UCGGGAAGUUUGGGCAAUGGGCGAAAGCCUGACCCAGCAACGCCGCGUGAGGGAUGAAGUAUUUCGGUAUGUAAACCUCGAAAGAAUGGGAAGAAUAAAUGACGGUACCAUUUAUAAGCUCCGGCUAACUACGUGCCAGCAGCCGCGGUAAUACGUAGGGAGCAAGCGUUGUUCGGAUUUACUGGGCGUAAAGGGCGCGUAGGCGGCGCGGUAAGUCACUUGUGAAAUCUCUGAGCUUAAUUCAGAACGGCCAAGUGAUACUGCUGUGCUAGAGUGCGGAAGAGGCAACCGGAAUUCUUGGUGUAGCGGUGAAAUGCGUAGAUAUCAAGAGGAACACCUGAGGCGAAGGCGGGUUGCUGGGCCGACACUGACACUGAUGCGCAAAAGCCAGGGGAGCAAACG